rnacentral:rRNA from 1 species
ACACUCCUGCGGGAGGCAGCAGUGGGGAAUAUUGCACAAUGGGCGCAAGCCUGAUGCAGCCAUGCCGCGUGUAUGAAGAAGGCCUUCGGGUUGUAAAGUACUUUCAGCGGGGAGGAAGGCGAUAAGGUUAAUAACCUUGUCGAUUGACGUUACCCGCAGAAGAAGCACCGGCUAACUCCGUGCCAGCAGCCGCGGUAAUACGGAGGGCGCAAGCGUUAAUCGGAAUUACUGGGCGUAAAGCGCACGCAGGCGGUCUGUCAAGUCGGAUGUGAAAUCCCCAGGCUCAACCUGGGAACUGCAUUCGAAACUGGCAGGCUAGAGUCUUGUAGAGGGGGGUAGAAUUCCAGGUGUAGCGGUGAAAUGCGUAGAGAUCUGGAGGAAUACCGGUGGCGAAGGCGGCCCCCUGGACAAAGACUGACGCUCAGGUGCGAAAGCGUGGGGAGCAAACAGGAUUAGAAACCCCGGUAGUCCCAUG